GGCCCUGACUGGGGAAUAAAGGCCCCGCCAGCCUCCUUCCCACCUCGGCUGGUGCAAGGAGCGUCUGGGUCAGGGUUUGGACCAUGUCCCGGCUGGUGGAAUGUGUCCCCAACUUCUCAGAGGGGAACAAUCAGGAGGUGAUUGAUGCCAUCGCUCGAGCAGUGGCCCAGACCCCGGGCUGCACGCUGCUGGACGUGGACGCCGGCCCCUCCACCAACCGCACUGUCUACACCUUCGUGGGGCGCCCUGAGGACGUGGUGGAGGGGGCCCUGAAUGCCGCCCGCACUGCCCACCGGCUCAUCGACAUGAGCCGGCACAGAGGGGAGCACCCCCGGAUGGGUGCCCUGGACGUGUGCCCCUUCAUCCCAGUGAGGGGCGUCACCAUGGACGAGUGUGUGCUGUGUGCCCAGGCCUUUGGCCAGCGGCUGGCAGAGGAGCUGGGUGUGCCAGUGUACCUCUAUGGUGAGGCGGCACGGAUGACCAGCCGCCAGUCCCUGCCAGCCAUCCGGGCCGGGGAGUACGAGGCCCUCCCUGAGAAGCUCAAGCAGGCCGAGUGGGCACCCGACUUCGGGCCCAGCUCCUUCAUUCCCAGCUGGGGGGCCACCGCCACAGGGGCACGGAAGUUCCUCCUGGCAUUCAACAUCAACCUGCUCAGCACCAAGGAGCAGGCGCACCGCAUCGCCCUCAAUCUCCGUGAGCAGGGUCGUGGGAAGGACCAGCCAGGACGCCUGAGCAAGGUGCAGGGCAUCGGCUGGUACCUGGAUGAGAAGAACCUGGCUCAGGUGUCCAUGAACCUCCUGGACUUUGAAGUCACAGGGCUGCACACCGUCUAUGAGGAGACCUGCAGAGAAGCCCAGGAGCUGAGCCUCCCAGUGGUGGGCUCGCAGCUGGUGGGCCUGGUGCCUCUGAAAGCCCUGCUGGAUGCGGCCACCUUCUACUGCGAGCAGGAGAAUCUGUUCCUCCUGGAGGAGGAGCAGCGGCUCAGGCUGGUGGUGAACCGGCUGGGCCUGGACUCCCUGUCCCCCUUCAACCCCAAGGAGCGGAUCAUCGAGUACCUGGUCCCCCAGGACGGGCCCGAGCAAAGCCUGGUGGACCAGCCCCUGCGCGCUUUCAUCCGGGCCGUGGGUGCCCGCUCGGCAGCCCCGGGGGGCGGCUCUGUGGCCGCAGCCAGUGCAGCCAUGGGCGCCGCCCUGGCCUCCAUGGCCGGCCUGAUGACCUAUGGGCGGCGCCAGUUCGAGCACCUGGACGUGACCAUGCGCCGCCUGAUCCCGCCCUUCCGCGCCGCCGUGGCUGAGCUGACUGCGAUGGUGGACGCCGACGCCCGGGCCUUUGAGGCCUACCUGAAAGCGACAAAGCUGCCCAAGAACACACCUGAGGACAAGGACAGACGUGCGGCCGCCCUGCAGGAGGGGCUGAGGCAGGCGGUGGCUGUGCCCUUGGCGCUGGCAGAAACGGUGGCCUCACUGUGGCCGGCACUGCGAGAGCUGGCCCUGUGUGUGAACCUGGCCUGCAGGUCAGACCUGCAGGUGGCAGCCAAGGCCCUGGAGACAGGUGUGUUUGGCGCAUAUUUCAACGUGCUCAUCAACCUGAAGGAUGUCACUGAUGACGCGUUUAAGGACCAGGUCCGCCGGCGCAUCUCCAGCCUCCUGCAAGAUGCCCAGAGACAGGCAGCCCUGGUGCUGGACGGGCUGGAGGCCCGGCAGGAGUGAUGGCUGAGCAGGGAAUCGACGGACUCCACUCCCCCUUGCAGCCCCUCCAGACGCGUCCUGGGGGCCCAGAUGUGGGGGAUGUGAGGGGCAAGGAUAGGGGGCUGUGAGGAGUGGGCAUGGCUGGGGUUGGCAGUGCCAGUAAAGUGAUGACACACUGGUG
rnacentral:misc_RNA from 1 species